UACGUAGGGCAGCAAGCGUUGUUCGGAGUUACUGGGCGUAAAGGGUGUGUAGGCGGUUAUUUAAGUUUGGUGUGAAAUCUCCCGGCUCAACCGGGAGGGUGCGCCGAAUACUGAAUGACUUGGAGUGCGGGAGAGGAAAGUGGAAUUCCGAGUGUAGAGGUGAAAUUCGUAGAUAUUCGGAAGAACACCAGUGGCGAAGGACGGCUGCAUCUGGAC
rnacentral:rRNA from 1 species